CAAUGGAUGCCCGCUAGUUGGAGUCGCUGAUAUAAGUUGUGAUAUUGGCGGGUCAAUAGAGUUCAUUAACAAAACUACAUCGAUUGAGAGUCCUUUUUUCAGGUAUGACCCCUUCACUAAUUCAUACCAUGAUGACAUGGGGGGUGAUGGUGUUAUAUGCUUAGCAGUUGAUAUACUUCCGACAGAGUUUUCUAGAGAGGCUUCUCAACAUUUUGGAGAUAUCCUUUCUCAGUUUAUUGGUUGUUUGGCUUCAAUUAAAGACUUAAGAGGUCUGCCUUCGCACUUAAGAAGAGCUUGUAUAGCUCAUGGAGGAGCUCUUACUUCCUUGUAUGAGUAUAUCAAUCGGAUGAGAAAUUCUUCCUCAAUAGGCUCAUCACCAAAUUCUACGAAUGGUUCUUCAGUAGAGAAGAAGUAUAAG
rnacentral:misc_RNA from 1 species